rnacentral:misc_RNA from 1 species
UGCUUUAUUAAGUCGUUAUUAUUUCGACAACUUGAACCCACAGCUGAAACCCACUGGCCACUGCCCACUGGCAACCCCCCACGUACAUAUCACGAAAACCAAGUUUGCAUUUCUUGCCGGCAGCACAAGCUCCCUACUUCAUCGACGCCAAGAGGGCUUGAAAAAACGGAAACCGUAGCGAGACCCCCUCACGGCGAAGAAAACACGAGAGAGGCGAAGCAGUCACCAGGCUAACAACGCAAACACACAGAGACAGAGACAGAUCAAAGCCGCCCCCAUCGUCAUCACGACGACUGACGAGAACGCACGCAGACAUGGACUACCUAUGGAGCUGCAAGGGUCGGUUCAGUUCAGUCGCGGUAGAAGACGAGCAGCGCGACGCAGCGGCAGAUGAUGCGGAGCCGCGCACCCUGCUCCUUCACGGCCCUGCCGAGGCCCCUAGCCCCGCGCCUCCCCUGUCGACUCCUGACGACGACGAGCUCCAUCUCCCCUCCACCAGGGCUCCUCCUCUGCGUCGAGCGAACAACCGCGAAGCGCGAGAACCCGAUCGCGAGCUGGAUCUCGAUGGCACCACGCAUGCAAGGGAGGGGAGACUGGACAGCAGCCGGCCUCCUCCGCGGACAAGCUUG